rfam:Ipomoea nil DNA, scaffold: scaffold1043, cultivar: Tokyo-kokei standard.
AGGCAGAUGAUGAUUUGUAUAUUAUUUGAGCUGAUGUAUAGAUGAGGCUUCAAAAUUCGAGCUUUUUAAAACUGAUGCCUU